AUUGAGUUGUGGGUUCAUGGAAGCUUCCACCUAUAUUUCAAAGGAAGUCCUGGGAAGCCAGGAAUUAAAUCUACUCCUAAGAUGUUUGAGAGAAUCUGACAGAAGCUUAAAUGAAAAUAUCGUUUCAUCCACAGCGGACACCAGAAAAGCUUCCAGAUUGAUAUAGAUGCAAAAGUGAAAUAUCACCUCUCAAGUGAGAAUUCGAAAGGUUGAUGUAAAUGAGCAUCGGGAACGAGUCACUGGGGAGAAGGAGCAAAAGACGUGCAUAGGUGAACGUGACAACACAAGGAGACUGCUUGGGG